AGACUGAUGUUUAAAGAAACAAUACAAAGAAUAUAUUUUUUUGUUAAAAACCAGUUGGUUUAAAUAUCUGGUGUCUCUCUCUCUCAGCUUUUUUUUUCUCUCUCUCUCUCUCUCUCUUUUUUAUUUUUAUUUUUUUCUGUUUUGUUUUGGGGGUGGGGGGUUGUUUGGACUUUUUGUCGUCAUUGCUGGUGACUCAUGCCUUUUUUUAACGGGAAAAACAAGUUCAUUAUAUUCAUAUUUUUUAUUUGUAUUUUCAAGACUUAAACAUUUAUGUUUAAAAGUGAGAAGAAAAAUAAUACUCAGAAACUGGUUCCAGAAAUAAUGCAUCUUAUAAUGUGUCCCGAUAACGAGCUGAUGUUGCGGGAAGAUUUUUUUCUAUAGUGAACUCUGUGGGCAUCUCCAAGUAUUACCCCUGGAUGAUAGGAAUUGACUCCGGCGUGCACACAUGUACACACCCACACACAUCUAUCUAUACAUGCUGGCUUAAGCCAACCUCUUGUCUUGCAGAUGUAGAAAUUGUUGCUUUGUUUCUCUGAUAAAACUGGUUUUAGACAAAAAUAGGGAUGAUCACUCUCUUAGACCAUGCUAAUGUUAAUAGAGAAGAAGCAUUCUUUUCUUUCUUCUAUGUGAAACUUGAAAUGAGGAAAAGCAAUUCUAGUGUAAAUCAUGCAAGCGCUAUAAUUACUAUAAAUAAGAAAAUUCAAGAAGAUUCAAUCACUGUAUAGAAUGGUAACGUACCAACUCAUUUCUUAUAUCAUAUUGUUAAAUAAACUGUGUGCAACAGACAAAAAGGGUGGUCCUUCUUGAAUUCAUGUACAUGGUAUUAACACUUAGUGUUCGGGGUUUUUUUUUUUUUGUUAUGAAAAUGCUGUUUUCAACAUUGUAUUUGGACUAUGCAUGUGUUUUUUUCCCCAUUGUAUAUAAAGUAUCGCUUAAAAUUGAUAUAAAUUACUGAAGUUUUUAACAUGUAUUCUGUUCUUUAAGAUCCCUGUAAGAAUGUUUAAGGUUUUUAUUUAUUUAUAUAUAUUUUUGGAGUCUGUUCUUUGUAAGACAUGGUUCUGAUUGUUUGCUCAGAGUGGAGAGAUUGGGGCUACAGUCAUAGCUGCAGUGCAAGUGGCAGCUGAGCACUGUCCCAGACUGUGGCCACUGAGGGAGGAAAGGGGAGCUCCUUGCACAGACAGUGAGGGGCAGCUCAGGACCACCUUGCAUAUUUAGUACUCACAGGUGAAUGUCACCCAUGCCAGGAAGGACUAUCACCACUGGGUCAGAAACAGCUCUUUGCCUCCAGCCCACUCUUCCUGUCCUCCUCUUUGUUGGUCAGCUGCCCCUGUGGGGAGGGCUCCUGCCUUUUUUUUUCAGACCCCCCUUCUCUACCCAGAUCCCACAAUCAAUGCAAAGGGUGCUCCAGGGACUUGAGGUGGUUCCUGACCUCCCCUCCCCAAAAGUUCAGCCUGCCCCAUGUGGCCUCAUUAGGGCCUUGCAGGCCUGGUGCCACCCUGGGGGCUGCUACUUGAUGGUCUUACCCACUCAUGGAGUCAUGGAGUUACAGGUACCUUCCUGAGCAGGGGAUGGUAGCUCCUGAAUACUGUAAAUGUCACUCUCAGAGGAGGACCACUGACGGGGGACUGUUACCCCUAGUCUGCUGCUCCCAGGGAAUUUUUUUUUUUAAAUACCUGUCUUCCAACAAAAGAGUGGUCUAGAUGGGGGUGGGGGGCUGCUAAAUUUAGAAAUCAUGACCCAAAUAGCCUUCCUUUUGGCCUUUUAAGUUCACAAAAGUAUUUUCAAAAUUCCCAGUGCUUGGAAGUCUAAACUUGAAGCUAUUCGAGAUUAGAGUUUUCAAUGUAGAAUUUUGAAUCUUGAAAUUUAAUGCUGUGGAUAAGACCAGGUAAGGAAUAGACCAUCCUCUAACAUCCCCAACUAAGCCCUGUCCCAAGUCCUCCAGAGGUGAUGCUCGUCUUUGCUCAACUUGAUGGGUCCUUGCACAUUUUGGCUCUCUUCAGAAUUCCCUUUGCUGCCAAUUGGGAAGUCCCAAGCCAUGUGUUCAAACAAGAAGAGGAACUGGAGCCUCAGAGGAGCUGCUCUCAGCCCCACUCAGGAGGUGGCACUUGACAAUGUGUAGCCUUUUAAUGUGGGCACUGGGGACAUCCUUUUCAGGCUAUCCUGAAAUUCAAAGCUUUGUACCAACCUCCUUGGACUCUGCAUCCUAUGCAAUUGUCCAUUUGGAUGUCAAAGGAUGUGGCUGAGAGUGGGCUGUGGAUAUUAUCCCUAUUUUGUCCUAAGGAAAUUUCUGUAAGAGCUGGAGUGCCCAGACACUGUGUCUCAUGCUGUAUACUUAAGAGGAAAAGAAAAAAGUCCUAUAUUUGUGAUCAAAAAGAGGGAACUUGAAAUGUGCUGGUGUUUAUAAUAAAAGCUGGUAAAACUGCUUGGAUUC
rnacentral:lncRNA from 1 species